rnacentral:rRNA from 1 species
CCUACGGGUGGCAGCAGUGGGGAAUAUUGGACAAUGGGCGAAAGCCUGAUCCAGCCAUGCCGCGUGUGUGAAGAAGGCCUUCGGGUUGUAAAGCACUUUCAGUGGGGAAGAAAGCCUUGGGGCUAAUACCCUCGAGGAAGGACAUUACCCACAGAAGAAGCACCGGCUAACUCCGUGCCAGCAGCCGCGGUAAUACGGAGGGUGCGAGCGUUAAUCGGAAUUACUGGGCGUAAAGCGCGCGUAGGCGGUCUGAUAAGCCGGUUGUGAAAGCCCCGGGCUCAACCUGGGAACGGCAUCCGGAACUGUCAGGCUAGAGUGCAGGAGAGGAAGGUAGAAUUCCCGGUGUAGCGGUGAAAUGCGUAGAGAUCGGGAGGAAUACCAGUGGCGAAGGCGGCCUUCUGGACUGACACUGACGCUGAGGUGCGAAAGCGUGGGUAGCAAACAGGAUUAGAUACCUUGUAAUC